CAAAUUAGGUAGGACUACCCGCUGAACUUAAGCAUAUCAAUAAGCGGAGGAAAAGAAACUAACAAGGAUUCCCCUAGUAACUGCGAGUGAAGCGGGAAAAGCUCAAAUUUGAAAUCUGGCAGCCGUGAGGUUGUCCGAGUUGUAAUCUAGAGAAGUGCCAUCUGUGUUGGACCAUGUACAAGUCUCCUGGAAUGGAGCAUCAUGGAGGGUGACAAUCCCGUCUUUGACAUGGACUACCAAUGCUUUGUGAUGCACUCUCGAAGAGUCGAGUUGUUUGGGAAUGCAGCUCCAAAUGGGUGGUAAAUUCCAUCUAAAGCUAAAUAUUGGCGAGAGACCGAUAGCGAACAAGUACCGUGAGGGAAAGAUGAAAAGGACUUUGGAAAGAGAGUUAAACAGUACGUGAAAUUGCUGAAAGGGAAACGCUUAAAGUCAGUUGCAUUGACUGGGAAUCAGCCCUGCAUCCUUAUGGUAUGCUGGGUGCACUUUCCAGUUGAUGGGUCAGCAUCAGUUUUGAACAUUGGAUAAAGGUAUGAGGAAUGUGGCAUUUAUUUAUAAAUGUGUUAUAGCCUCAUAUUGUAUGCAAUGGUUGGGACUGAGGAAUACAGCACGCCGAAAGGCCAGGGAUAAAACCCAUGAAUCGUGCUUAGGAUGGCUGGCAAAAUGGCUUUAAUCGACCCGUCUUGAAACACGGACCA
rnacentral:rRNA from 1 species